rnacentral:lncRNA from 1 species
UAACCUUCUCAAUUAUGAUUAAUGGCUUGUGUAGUCAGGGGAAUCUGGAUGAAGCACUCACCCUAUUGAAAGAAAUGGAGGAAAGUCGGUUGAAGCCUGAUCUUGUGACCUAUUGCAUUCUGAUCAAUGGUAUGUGCAAAGUUGGGAAGAUUAAUGAUGCCAAGGAACUUUUUUCUAGUCUUUUUGAAAUUGGUUUACAACCUGAUGUUUAUGUAUAUAAUGCAAUUAUGAAAGGACUCUGCCAACAAGGACUAAUGGACGAAGCGUAUAAGGUAUUUAGAGACAUGGAAAAGGGAGGAUGUUUACCGAAUAAUUGUUGUUAUAAUAUCAUCAUUCAAGGGUUUCUCAAGCAUGAGGAUUUACCAAAAGCAUCAGAACUAAUCAACGAAAUGGUUGAUAAGGGGUUCUCUGCUGAUGAUGCUAACACAGCAUUGGUAGUACAUUUAUCGCGGAAUAAUGAUCUCAUUCUGAGGCUUUUAAAGGUGCGCAAUGAGGGAUCAGCAAACUAAAGUUGUUAUAUCUUGACCAUUCAAGUUGUCUUGGAGCGCAACUUGGUAAUUACCUUUUUCAAAUAUAAUAGAUAUGUAAUUUAACUAACUUCUUCAAAUAUCAUUUUUAAUUUCAAUCAGCUGUGAUUCUCUUCCACAAAAUAAAAAUUUCUAACACGGCAAAUGACCUGUGGUGGAAACCAUGACAUGUGUGUGCCUUUCGCUUGAAUUCAGACAUGGACUUGAUCUCUUUGAGAUAAGAUUGUUGAUGAAUGGAGGUCAUGGAUUUCUAAUGAUCAAGUUGCUGGUAAACCCACCAUCUCCUUACAAUUUUUUAUUGGCUGCUACUACAGCCUCAACUGGAGAGCUCAGUCCUAAAAUUGAGUUGAGAACUAAAACUAAUUGGUUCCAUACUACAAUGCUUAAGAAUCUUUAUCUAUUUUUAUUUUUGUGCUCAAUGACCUUUUAAAAUGCUAUCAUUUCUCUUGUAGGUACUUGCAAGGAUAUGAUUACAACUUCACCUUUCUAACAAUAAAAAAGGUCUAAGCAAUUCUUUUUUGCUUAAUUAUUAUUCUAUUUUUAAUAAUUUUGAAAAUAAUGAUUAUAAAUCAGUGUGCUUUAAUUGAGAAUUGAUUUAACAAUUAGACUACACUAUAAAUGCAGGGUGCAGGAUAUACGGUCCCAGAGUACAAGGUAAGAGAAUCACUACACAUCUACAGCUGUUGGUUGGAUGAAAUGUCACUAAAAUUAUACACAACCGAAAAUGUUAUGGGAAUUGGGGAAAGGCAAACAUCCUCUUUGUNNNNNNNNNNNNNNNNNNNNNNNNNNNNNNNNNNNNNNNNNNNNNNNNNNNNNNNNNNNNNNNNNNNNNNNNNNNNNNNNNNNNNNNNNNNNNNNNNNNNNNNNNNNNNNNNNNNNNNNNNNNNNNNNNNNNNNNNNNNNNNNNNNNNNNNNNNNNNAUAUAUAUAUAUAUAUAUAUAUAGAUCCUUAAUUUCUUUUAUUUUCCUUCAAGUCAAAUUAGUGAAAUCAUUGCAUUAGCAUCUAAUAAUAUGAAGUUCACAAUCUUUUCCAAUGAAAUCAAUUUUUUAACAUGAAAAUUUGAAUUUUAGAAAUGUUUGUGGAAGGUAUAUAUAUUCUUCCCUUCGAGAUUCUUUAUUUUGUGCCAAGUUGAUUGGAUGUACUGUUUGAAAUGUUAGUUAAGUUAGGCAAGAAAAGUUGUUUUGGUUGUUUCUUUUCUCCUUUCAGCAGUAUAUAAUGAGACAUCUUAUGUUUUUACCACUUUCUAAUAUACUACUCAAUAAAAUUUUCUUUGGGCUCUUGUUUGUACAUGGUAUUUUUCUUUUUGCUUGAUGAUUCUUGAAGUUUUUGUGACUGCAUCCAUGGGAAUUGGUUUGUUAGGGAAGGUGGGGCUGACAGGGUACAUAUUGAGAGGUAGGAAACCAAUUGCAAAAUGAUUCAGAUCCUUUUACUCUUCAAAACUCAGAUAAUCCAAGUAGAAUUCUCAUAUCUGCACCGUUAAAUUAAGUAUAAAGAAUAUAUAGUUAAAAAGAUAAAUCUAUUUAUAUCCAUUUAAUUUUAAUUUUUUUUUAUCCGUUUGUAAAUUUAUUUUUUUUAUAGUGCUAGAGGUUUAAUAAGUUGGAGAGAGCAGGGCUCACAGCAGCCUCACUCUCUUGUAACCAUUCAAAGACUCGAGUCAUAUCAGUGGCGUUAAUAGCAUCUCUUGAUAUGUCACCUCUCUAGAAAAUUUGAACCCAUCCUAAAAAAAAAAGCAAGCAAACCACCGCACUUUCAGUGGCCGGAAGAGUGAUAUCACAUCUAUGAAUUGACUUAAACCAAGACUGGUCUUUAAAAUACUCUCACCAUGAAGCUCUAAAUUUACAACUGCAAAAGUAAAAAUAGAAAAACACAAUAUUUUCACCCCAGCCAUAGAGACAAGGAGAGUAAACCCAUAUCCAAGACUCGAGGAAGCCAUCCCUUAAAAGGAACAGGGAACGGUUGCAGGACUAACCAUUAGUAGAGAAACAAGGUUUGCCCUCAGAAGUAAACAGGCAGAGAUAAAGCACUCUCUCUUUAACUUUCACGGCUCUUAUUCAAAAAUUUGAUUUCAAAUUAUAAAAAUAUGCUUUUAUAUUAUAGCAAUUCUUAUCUAAACCAGCUUAACAUUAACUUAAAAUAUAAAUAUAUAAGAUUUUUCUUACAUUAGGUUUACAUAACUAUUUUUUUAUAUAUUAAAUAUACCCUUAAUUAAAAUGAUUUUUUUUCUAUUACAUGAAAAUAUAUUUGCACCUAUUUUCAAAUAAAACUUUAAUAUAAUUAAAAUAAACUAUGUUUGCCUUUGGUUAACAUACCAUUCACUCAUAUUACUCCUUAAAUAUUAAAGAACUCAUACUAUUAGAAGAUUUUUAAAAUCAGUAAAUUUUACUUUUUUUCAAUAGAUAUUAAAUAGAAUAUAUUAAUAAACUAAUAAAUAAAUCAUCAUAUACAAGUUCAUAUAAUUUAACAUUACACUGCUGAUUGCAACUACUUAGCUCCAUAACGCCAUUCUCUAAAACCCCAACUCUCACACCCAACCCUCUGCAAUAAACACAGAAACAAAACCUCAUCUCUCUCUCUCUCUCUCCCCUCAAAAGAAAAUCAAUAUAUAAUAUGUAAGUGAUCAAGUGAUUGAUUAUGGACAUCAUAGAUCUAACAGAAAAUUAUACCUUGCAAUUCACCCCCACAAAAAUAUUUUCCCGGCAAAGAACGAUCAUUCGAGCCGCUGUGUAUUCGAGCUCUCCAAUGACCACAGCUUGAAGUUACUUCAUUGUCUUGUUAGUGAAUGAUCAAGUAAUUCUUGAGAAGCAUUACCUCUUCUGGUUGGUAUUAAUUUUGUUGAGAAGCAAGCCAGGCAUCUCAUCAAUAAUGGCGAUUUACGCUUAUAGGAACGCGCUGAGCAGCUUCGCUACUGUUUCCGAACCAUUCACUGUUAUAAGAAGACCAAAGAGAAAGUCCACUUUUGUAUGAUAAGCUGUCAAUGAGAAAAUGAUCCUGAAUUCCUAUUCGUUGCCUCGGUGUGCUCAUCGACCUCGCCUUUGCCUUUGCAGAUUCUGUUGCAGCCAUGUAAGUUGGGAAAACAGGAGAAUUCAGUGCAGAACUGUCAUCUCCUGUAGUAUUCCGUUGUGUCCGACAAAAUGAUCUUCUUGGAAAUGACACUGGUGAACUCAAUGCUUCUAUGUUAUCUCGUUUCCGUGAACUCAUUUUCACUUGUGUUGUACCAAAUAUGUCACUUGCUUUCAGAUUCUCUAUCCGUUCUCUAGCCAAUUCUUCCAGCCAGUGUCUCUGUCUAUCAGGUUCAUUCUUGGCUAUUGAUUCUUCCAGUACAUAGAUAAGAAAGUAAAAAAGAGAUGUUUUUUUAAGAAUAUAAUCUUCGUUAUAUUAAUCUUCACAGUACACACAUGAUUUAAAUAAGAGAAUUGAUAACUAAAGUUGCCUAUUGAAUAGGAGAGAAUAAUGGAAAAAUAUCAUCAGUAAGUGAAUGAAUCACCCUAAGAAUCCUAAUCACAAGACUCAUUCAAUUGUAUAAUAUUUACAAAAUUAACACUUAUCACUCCAAUACUCAAGCCUUAGCACAGCAGCCUUAUUACUCCUGAGAGGUGGAACCAUUCUUAUGACUCCCUGAACUAGUAUCCCCCCUCAAAUUGUGUCCAGAAUGGAGACAGAGUUUGCGUCGAAAUUGUGCUAGACGAGUUUUUGUCAUUGACUUUGUAAAUAUAUCAGCAACUUGAUAUGCUGAGGGAAUGUAUCUCGUGAUCAGAACUCCUUGAGCAACGCGUUCUCUGACAUAGUCUAUAAAUCUUGAUUUUGGAUCAGUUACCAACACUCAAUAAAGUCUAUAAAUCUAUAUGCAGCCACUGAGUGUGUUGAUGGACAAGCAACUGCAAUUGGUCCUACUAGGGAUUGGAAUGCUAAUUUAGCUUCAGGUAUUUAACAGGACUUUUUGUCCAAAUGUAUUUAUGAACAAGUUCAUAAAAGGCAGGUUAGCUCUAUAUAUAACACAAGUAUAAUCUUGCAAUAUACUUGAUAAAAUUUUCUUUGAGCUGUUAUUUACACACCACCUGCAGUAGGUAUCCAGUCUUAAAUUAGUUAGAUAUUCAAUAAAAGGACUUUUUAUAUGAUUCCAAUAAUUCUCUACAUAAUAUGUUCCUUAAAACAAAAUUUGAUUCAAUUUAUUUUAACACCAUAAUUCUUUAUAAAAAAAAUAGCUACAAAAUUUCUUACAGUUAGUAAUUUAAUGGUCAUGGUCAGUAAACGGUCAGUAACUUAUUUUACAAAUCACUUUUUCCAUAAUUUGAUCAGUUAACAUGAUUUCUUCUGGUGCGUUAUUAUUUAUAAAUACUAAUAAUUACAUUGUAAAAUUUAUAAUUUAUUUUUAUUAAUAUAAUUUAUUUAAUUAAUUUAUAAUAUAAUAUUUUAAUUUACAUUUAAAAUUCACAUGUUCACGUCUAUUUUAAUGGAUUAAAAAAUUAUACAAAUAUAUAUUAUUUAAAAUAUUUCAAUUUAAUUUGUUCGAUUAAUUUACUAUUUUAAUUUAAUUUAUGUUCUAUUAACAAAUAUAAUAUUAAACUUUUAAUAGAUUAAAUAUUUUAUUAAAACUAUUAUAUGUUUUAAUAAUUUACUUAUAUUAAGGUUAGUAAUUAGAUAUAUUUGUCUAUACUAUAAAAUCUCAAUAUCAUACAAUACAUUAUUAAUAAAUAUACUACAUAAUUAGUUCAGGCGAGAAAGUGGGCAACAUGCUACAAACUAUAAUUCUUGCUAAGAAUUAGAAUUAAAUUAAAUUUGUAAUACUUUAAUAUAAAGAAAAACUAUAGUUCUUACUAAGAAUUAGAACCAAAUCAAAUUUUUAAUACUUUAAUGCAUUUCAAACUAAAUUUCGGUAUAGUUCUAAUACGAUUCUAAGUAAUUUUAGUACUAUCUCAAUUUGAUUUUAAUUUUUUUAUUUUAAUUUUAUUUCAAUUUAAAUUUUAAUUUUUACAAAUAAAAUCAUAAUAGCUUUUACGCAUAUUUUNNNNNUACAACUCUUGAUAAGAAUAUUUUAUUAUUUUAUGUAGUUAUUAAUUAUAUAAUUUUAAUUAAAAAAUGUAUGAAAUUAAUAUAUAAAUAUAUAUUAUAUUACUAAUAAUACAUUUAUAAUUGAUAUAAAAAAAGGAUGUAUAUAUCAUUCGAGUAUAAUAAUUUUUUAAAAAAUAUAUAUAUGUUAAUGAUAAUUUUAUUAAAUAACAGAUAUUAGCAAAUAUAAUAAAAAUUUGAAUAUUUCAAUUACAGUAAAAAAAUCAACUAAAAUGAUACAUUUUCUUAAUUUUAUUUUAUUAUAAUUUUUUUAUAACUUUGAUUAAAUAUAUUCAUAUAAUAAUGUGAUAUUAAGAUAAUAGGAGCCCAAAUUUAAUAGUCUAUUUGCAAUAAUAAUAAUAAUAUAUAAAAAAAUUAAUAAAGAGAUGAAAAAAUAACGGUAAAAUAUUGUUUAGUUUAUGAAAGUGUUAAAUUUGGUUGUGGAUAAAUAGAGUGGUUUAUUGAAGAUUUUGAAAUCAAAUGGACAUUCAAAGCCGCAAUAUAAAGAUUUAUUUGGCUUUAAAGAGAGAUAAAUCAACGUCAAUCAGACUGUGUAUCUUACUAGAGGUUCUUGUAUCCCACUUCUGAUUAGAUUGAUAAGAGAAUAAGAGACAGCUGAGGUUCAAGAGGUGAUUUGUUCAGAUCACAUGGGCAACUCAUACAAAAUUAAAUAUAAAAGGAAGUUUUUUCUUAGAAAUCUGAUAUAUUUUUCUAUGCUACAAAAUCUCAGUACAAGCGAGAUAGUGGGCAACAUGCUAAAAUAAAAAGCUAUAGUUCUGAUACUUUUAUCAUCAGAUUUUACUACAAUAUAUUUUAAUCUAUUAGUAAUUUUAACAGAUUUAUUAAAAAUUUUGAAAAUCCUUCAAUAAUUCUUAAUAUAAAACAUUAUAUAAAAAUUCACCAAUAGAUUUGAAAUCUGUUGGUAAUCUACUAGUAUUACUAACAAAUUUAAAAAUUUAUUGGAAAUUUAUAAAUUUAUAAAAUAAUUGGUAUUGAUAUUUAUCAACAGACUUAAAAUUUAUUAGUAAAUCAUUAACAAUUUUAAUCUGUUAGUAAAUUUAGGGGUGGAAAUGAAACAAACCGUUUGUGACCGUUUGUGAGCUAUUCGAGAUUCGACUCGAUAAAAACUUGACCGAACUCGACUCGAUUUCUAAACGAUUCAAACUCGAACUUAAUUUUUAGGCUUGUUUAGUAAACAAGGCAAACUUAAACCAUAUAGUGUCUUGUUAAGACUCGUGAGCUCGACUUGCGUUCGAAUUUAUGAGCAGACUGGUGAAUAGUCUCGUUAAGCAGACUGAAAUUAAUAUCAUAAGAGAAAUAAAUUUAACUCCUGCAUAUAUUUUCAUGAGGCAAAUCUAAAUUUUAUAAAAUUCAAUUCUAUAUUAUUUAAUUAUACUAUUAAAACUUGCAUAUUUGGAUUAUUAAGAGCUCAUUUUUAUAAGUUUAUAAGCUAAUUUUUAUAUGUGAAAGUCAGCUGCUUGCUUGAUGUGGGACGUCCCACAUCGGCGAAGUACAAAAAAUCAAAAUUGUAUAUAAUAAUUAGUAUGAAACUACUAAAUAACUUGAGUUAACCAUUUUGAGUUAGGUGGAAACUGAAUUCCAAGUUAUUUGGGUCAAAACUACCCCUGAGUCAGAGCUAGUGGCCCUGUCACAAUACCGAAGUUGAGCUUAUUAAUACUUAACUCGUCUAAAUUCAGUUCGAGUUCGAAAUGAGUAAAACUCGAGUUUGGCUUGAACUUAAAAAAAUUUUAACGAACUAAAUUUGAACUCUUCAAAUCUCAGCUCUACUCGUCGUUUACACCCUAAGUAAAAUUUUAAAAGUGUUUAAACUACUAACGGAUUUAAAAAUCCGUUACUAAAUAUUAUCAUCAAAUUAAUAAGUAUUAAAUUUAUUAACGGAUGCUAUCCACUAAUAAAUCUUUUAAUAAAUUUAAAAUAAAAUCCUACAAAAAAUUUCUGCAUUCUUUUUUUAUAACUCAUAUUUUUCAAAUUUUAAAUCCAUUGGUAAUUUUUUGAGAGAAAAAAAAAAAUUUUUUUUCAAAAUUUAGUAACGAGUCGUAAAUUUAUUAGUAAUUCACGUUUAUAAAUAUAACACAAACUCCUCUACUUUUAUCAUUCAUUCAUUUUAUAUCAUCCACCUUUCUUUCAUUUUUUUCACUUUCUCUCAUUUUCUUUUUUUCUAUUACAUUCUUUCAUUUUAUUUUUUUAUCUCAUAAUUUUUUUUUAUUUUUCUAUUAUUUUUCUUUCCUCUCUUAUCCUAUUUUCUCAUGGUUCUCUUUUAUCUUCUAUUAUUUUUUUCAUUCUUCAUAAUUUUCCUUUCAUUUUCUCCCUUUUCUUUUCCAUAUUUUUUUUUUCCUUUCCUCUCUAUACUUUUCAUUCAUAUUAGUUUUUUUAAUAUUAUUUUCUUCUAUUAUUUUCUUUCUAUUUACAUUUUUUCUAUUAUUUUCUCUUUAUUUAUUUUCUUCUCUAAGCAUUUGUUCACUUUUUUUCAUUUUUCUAAUCAUCUUUUUACUCAACUCUCAUUCAUUCUUUUUUUUCAUAAUUUUUAUUUUUCUAUUAUUUUCUUUAUUUUUCUCUUUUUUCUUUAUUUUUUAUUAUUUUCUCUCAUUUUAUACCAUUUAUUUUUUUAUUUUCACUUUUUUAGAUAUAAAUUAAAAACUUGGUAACAAUAAUAAUAUAAUUUUAAGUCUUAUUAAAUUAAUAAAAAAUUAUUUAAACUCUCAAUAGAUAUAUUAAUGAAUUGCAAUUCAUUGAUAAUUGACUAACAGAUUUCACAUCUGUUAAUAAAUUAUUUUUCUCUUAUACUAACGAAUUUAAAAUUUAUUAAUAAUUUAAAAUCUAUUAGUAAUAAUAGCGGGAAUUCCAUUAGUAAAUCCACUAGUUUACUGACGAAAUUAAAAACUGUUGGUAAAAAUUUAAUACCGACAUUUUAAUAACGGAUCGUAAUCUAUUAGAAAUCCCUUAUUAAUUAAUUUACCAACGAAUUUUUAUUAGAUUGCUAAUGGAAAAAUCAAUGCAUUAUUAAUAUAAAUUAAGAAGUUGAUUCUUAUCUUUACAAUAAGAUAUCUUUUAAACUCUUAAAAAUUUUGAAGCUAAAAUUGAAGAAACAUUCAUGACGUUAUAUUUUUCAUUUCAUGCAAGAUGAUAUCUGUUAUUGGAAUGCAUAUGAUUAUUUUAUUGAUAUAAAAUAAGUAUAAAGAAUAUACAAUUAAAAAGAUAAUUAUACUUAUCGAUCCGUUCGUAUCAUUUAAUUUUACUGUCUCUUUAUAAAUCUAUUUAUAUCCAUUUAAUUUUAAUCUCAUAUAGGUAAAUUAUAAGAGAUGAAGAGUUCUCCUUCCUUCCCUAUAAAAAGAGAAGGCCUCUCUUCCCUUCAAUAUUAGUACCUGAUUUUUUAUAAUUUAUAAUAUAAUAUACUAUAUAUUAAAUGUAUAGAAAUAAUUUAAUUAUUAUAAAUUUAAGUUAAUAUUAUUAAUAAUAAAAUAAAAUAAUAAAUAAAAUUUAAAAUGCAAAAUAUAUUUAGUGAGUUUAACAUUUCAAAAUUUUAUUAUUUUGAAAUAAUUUUAUAUNNNNNNNNNNNNNNNNNNNNNNNNNNNNNNNNNNNNNNNNNNNNNNNNNNNNNNNNNNNNNNNNNNNNNNNNNNNNNNNNNNNNNNNNNNNNNNNNNNNNNNNNNNNNNNNNNNNNNNNNNNNNNNNNNNNNNNNNNNNNNNNNNNNNNNNNNNNNNNNNNNNNNNNNNNNNNNNNNNNNNNNNNUUUUUUCCUCAUCUAUAUUAUAUACAAUUAGACUAUAAUAAUAUUUUUAAAAAUAUACAUUGAUAAUUAUUUAUUCAAUAAGGAAUAUUAUUUAAUAAAAUAAAAAAUCAAUAUUCUACAAUUAUAUUUAUAAUAUUUUAUUUAAAAAUAUAAAGUUAACAAAAUUAAUUAAUUUUCAAAUAAAUUUAAUUAAAUAUAAGGUACGGUUAUAAUAAAAUAUUAUUUUUAUGAAAAUCAAUUUAAUUAAUUCUCUAUAUUUUUAUUAAGAAUCAAAUAAAUUUAAUUUAAAAUUUUUAAAACUUUAAGCUAAUUAAACUAUAUAAUUUUAUUAAAGGCUAAAUAGAUUCUAACUUAAAAUGAUUUUUUAAUAAUAAAAUAUUAUUUUUAUAAUUUAAAAUAUUAAAAUUUAAUAUUUUAAUUAUCAUAAAAUUUUUAAAAAUAUAUAAAUAUAAUAAAUAAUUUUUAAAAUUAUAAAAAAAAAAGUUUUAUCAUAUAAAAAUUUUUAUUAUUAAAAAAUAAUAUUAUGUUAGAUUAUGAUUUAUUUGACUUUUGAGUAAUAAUAUAGAGAUUUAAUUUAUUUAAAAUUUUGAAUUAAAAUUAUUUAACUCUUCAAUAAAAGUAGAGACUUAAUUGCAUUUAUAUUUAUAAAAUUAUUAUUAUAAAAUGAUAAAUUUAAUUUGUUAUUAAAUAAUAUUUUUAUAUGAAAAAUUAAUUAAAAAAAUUACAAAAUGUGGCGCAUAUAAACAAUUCCCAAUUUCCUUUUGUUAUCCUUACCACAUUACCAGCAGGCAGAGAGCCUUCCUUUUCCGAUUCUCUAUUUCCGUUUCUCAUUCCCAAUCUCCGAUCCAUCCCUAAAAACGACUGACAAGAGAUCGAUGAUGAUGAAGAUGCCUUGGAGGAGGAAGAGCAGGAGCUUCCAUCUUCAGCUACAAGGGGCAAUUGGUACCAUUCAAUCUCCAUUCCUAUUCUUAUUUACCAAUUAUUGUCAUUCUUCUACUUCCACACUUGAAGAUGCACGCUUCUUGACAAAUAACUUCAAAUCUGCUUCUUUUACCCACCUUGAUGAUGCCAUUGCUUCCUUCAAUCAUGUAAUUCAUAAGCAUCCUCUGCCUUCUAGGGUUCCAUUUAAUAGAUUCUUAUCUGCCCUUGUGAAAAUGAAACAAUAUCACACUGUCCUUUCCAUGUCCAAAACAAUUGAAUUGCUAGGAAUCUCUCACGAUGUUUAUUCUCUUAGCAUAUUAAUUAAUUGCUUCUGCCAUUUACACAUUGUGGAUUUUGGCUUCUCUGUUUUUGGUAAGAUGCUCAAAUUCGGAUUGGAGCCUACCACUGUGACGUUUACUACCUUAAUUAAUGGGCUUUGUAUGGAGAGUAAAAUCCAUAAAGCAGUGGAAUUUUUCGAUGAUAUGGUUGCACGUGGUUAUCAACCUAAUGUUCGUACUUUCAAUGUGAUAGUAAACGGAUUGUGUAAAUUUGGGAAAACAAACGUGGCUAUUGGGCUACUAAAGGGAAUGGCUGAUAGAGGUUGUGAGCCAAAUGUUGUGACAUACAAUGCAAUCAUUGACGCACUUUGCAAGGAUGAGCUAGUUGGUGAAGCUUUAGAGCUCUUCUCUCAAAUGAGGAAUAAGGGCAUUUCACCUGAUGUCAUCACUUACACUAGUUUAAUUCAUAGUGUUUGCAAAUUAGGCCAAAAGAACCAAGCUUUGGCCUUGAUGAAUGAAAUGGUUGAGUGGAACAUAUUACCAAAUGUUUAUACCUUCAAUGUAUUGAUUGAUGCUCUUUGUAAGGAUGGAAUGGUUUCAGAGUCUCAAAAUACAUUCAAUGUAAUGAUUCAAAGAGGUGUAGAGCCUGAUGUGGUCACAUACAAUUCCUUAAUUGAUGGUCUUUGCAUUUCAGACCAAUUCAAGGAAGCUUUGGCCUUGUUGAAACAAAUGGUGGGGAGGAAUAUAUCCCCUGAUGUUUUUACCUUCAAUAUAUUGAUCGACACUCUUUGUAAGAAAGGACUGGUUUCAAAUGCACAGAAUAUAAUCAAAAUAAUGAUUCAAAGAGGUGUGGAACCUGAUGUUGUCACUUAUAAUUCAUUGAUGGAUGGAUAUUGUCUAUGCAAGCAAAUUGAUAAGGCUAGAAAGGUAUUUGAUCUGAUGGUGACCAAUGAAAUAGCUGACAUUUUAGGCUACAGCAUUUUGAUCAAUGGAUAUUGUAAGUGCAAAAUGAUAGAUGAUGCAGAGGAACUUUUUGAUGAAAUGUCUCAUAAAGGUUUAGUUCCUAAUGUUGUUACUUAUCAUACUCUUAUAAAGGGUAUGUUUCAAGCAGGGAGGCCCCAAAAUGCAAAAGAGCUUUUUAAGGAUAUGUGCUCUCAUGGUCAACAGCCAGAUAUAGUAACCUUCUCAAUUAUGAUUGAUGGCUUGUGUAGACAGGGGAAUCUCGAUGAGGCACUCGCACUAUUGAAAGCAAUGGAGAAAAGUCGGUUGAAGCCUAAUGUUGUGAUCUAUAGCAGUCUGAUCAAUGGUAUGUGCAAAGUUGGGAAGAUUAAUGAUGCCAAGGAACUAUUUUCUAGUCUUUUUGAAAUUGGUUUACAACCUGAUGUUUAUGUAUAUAGCGCAAUUAUGAAAGGACUCUGCCAACAGGGAUUAAUGGAUGAAGCGUAUAAGGUAUUUAAAGACAUGGAAAAGGUAGGAUGUUUACCAAAUAAUUGUUGUUAUAAUAUCAUCAUUCAAGGGUUUCUCAAGCAUGAGGAUUUACCAAAAGCAUCAGAACUAAUCAACGAAAUGGUUGAUAAGGGGUUCUCUGCUGAUGCUGCUACCACAGAAUUGGUAGUACAUUUAUUGCGGAAUAAUGAUCUCAUUCUGAGGCUUUUAAAGGCGCGCAACUAGGGAUUAGCAAACUAAAGUUGUUAUAUCUUGACCAUUCAAGUGUAUCUUGGAGCGCAACUUGGUAAUUACCUUUUUCAAAUAUAAUAGAUAUGUAAUUUAACUGACUUCCUCAAAUAUCAUUUUUAAUUUCAAUCAGCUGUGAUUCUCUUUCACAAAAUGAAAAUUUCUAACACCGCAAAUGACCUGUGGUGGAAACCAUGAUAUGUGUGUGCCUUUCGCUUGAAUUCAGAUAUGGACUUGAUCUCUUUGAUAUAAGAUUGUUGGAGAAUGGAGGUCAUGGAUUACUAAUGAUCAAGUUGCUGGUAAACCCACCAUCUCCUUUACAAUUUUAUUUUUGGUUGCUACUACAGCCUUAACUCGAGAGCUCAGUCCUAAAAUUGAGUUGAGAACUAAAACUAAUUGGUUUCAUACUACAAUGCUUAACAAUCUUUAUCUAUUAUUAUUUUUGUGCUCAAUGACCUUUUAAAAUGCUAUCAUUUCUCUUGUAGGUACUUGCAAGGAUAUGAUUAGAACUUCACCUUUUUAACAAUAAAGGUGUAAGCAAUUCUUUUUGCUGAAUUAUUAUAUUUUUAAUAAUAAUGAAAAUAAUGAUUAUAAACCAGUGUGCUUUAAUUGAGAAUUGAUUUAACAAUUAGACUACCCUAUAAAUGCAGGGUGCAAGAUACAGUACCAGAGUACAAGGUAAGAGAAUCACUAGACUUCUACGGCUGUUGGUUGGAAUAAAUGUCACUAAAAGUAUAGACAACAGAAAAUGUUAUGGGAAUUGAGGGAAAAGCAAAAAAAGACUAUGAAAAUCAGACAUAUGCAGCCACUGAGACAAGCAACUGCAAUUGGUCCUACUAGAGAUUGAAAUGCUAGUUUAGCUUCAGCUAUUUAACAGGACUUUUUGUCCAAAUUUAUUUAUGAACAAGUUCAUAAAAGGCAGGAUAGCUCUAUAUAUAACUCAGCUAUAAUCAAAGAAGGUGGCAGGAAAAAUGUCAAUACAAUGAAACUUCAUCUGAUUAAAUGGAAUACUCUUUGGUUGCCUAAAAAGAAUGGAGGCUUAGGCAUGAAAGAGAUCUGUCUUCAAAUUCAAGCUCUUUUGUUCAAAUGGCUUUGGAGAUUUGGAAAUCAUAGGGAUUCACUCUGAGUUCAACUUCUUCUAUCCAAAUAUUCUUUCAAUUUGGAGAAGGGUAUCUCUCUUGCUCCAGGAAAUUGCAUUUCUUCCCUUCAGAAAGACAUUCGAGGGUAUGCUACUUUCGAUGAACUCUUUCUCCUCUCCUUGAAUUCAUAUCAGAUUUGCUGUGGGGAAUGAGAUGAAAAUGAAAUUUUGGAAUGAGAGACGAUCGGUUGGUAAUAUUGCUCUCAAAUUCUCCUUUAGCAGACUAUUAAAUUUAGCUGCUAACCUAGAUGUGUUGAUGUUAAAUACGGGCUGUUGGGUGAAGAGCAAAUGGGAAUGGGAAAUAAUUGAAUUGUCAAUAUUAUACUUAAUCUUUUAUAUUAUUUCUAAUAAUAUAUUUUAUUAUUUAAAUAAAUUUAUUUUAGAGUUUUUAUGAAUUUAAAAUUUUAAGUUCCAUAAAUAAAUGUGGCAAUAUUUAUGUAAGAUUGUAAAUUCAAUAUUUUUUAAAAAGGUAGUUUUAGAAAAAAUAAAAUCGAUUUUGUAAACAACUUUUAAAAAAUGGAAAACCCAAUUACUUUAAAAAUAUCCAUUUCCAUAUAAAUUUAAUUAAAAAAUAAAUAUUUGCUUCUUUUUUUUUUAACUUUCAUUCCCCAUUAUUAUUUAUAAAUACUAAUAAUUACAUUGUAAAAUUUAUAAUUUAUUUUUAUUAAUAUAAUUUAUUUAAUUAAUUUAUGAUAUAAUAUUUUAAUUUGCAUAUAAAAUCCACAUGUUCACUACUAUUUUAAUGGAUUAAAAAACUAUAUAAAUAUACAUUAUUUAAAAUAUUUGAAUUUGAUUUGUUCAAUUAAUUUACUAUUUUAAUUUAAUUUAUGUUCUAUUAACAAAUAUAAUAUUAAAAUUUUCAUAGAUUGAGUAUUUUAUUAAAACUAUUAUAUAUUUUAAUAAUUUACUUAUAUUAAGACUAUUAUUAAUUAUUAAAAUUCUAAUACUAUUAAAAUAAAAAAUUUUAUUUUUUUUAAUAAGAGUACAGUUUUGUGAAUAAUAUUUUUUAUAUAUUAAAAUAAAAUUAUAAAUAAAAUAAUUAAAAAUAAAUAUUAUACAUGUUAAAAAAUUAAUAAUUAUUAAAAUUUGAAUAAUUAAUAUUAUUAAAAUACAAAUGGAAUUUAUAAAUAAUUAAUUUAGUGUGAAUAUUUCAUAUAAUUUGUGAUAAUCUAUCCCAUUUCAAACUCCUAACAAAAAAAUCUACUGACCUAUAAACUAAAUCUGCCAUCUUAAGAAACUUAAAACCAUAAAACCAAGAAAUUUUAUUUAUUCUCAGAAUUAUAAACUUAACCAUCACUUAAUUACCAUAUUUACCGAUUAACAUUAAUAAAUUAAAAUGAAAAUAAUUACAUAAUUAAUAAAAAUUCUUCUUCACUGCUUUAAUUUGCAAUUUUUUUUAAAACCAAUUAAUAAACUAAUCCAGCUAAAAAAUUUUAUUUAAUGCUAAAAAUCUAAAUUUUAUCAGAAAAAUCUAAUCUUUAUCCAUAUAUAUAAAUUGAAUCCCAAUUACUCUUCUCUCCUAUAAAAUUUCCUUUUGAGUUUUCUCACUCUCAAACAUUUUCUUAACUUAGAAAAUUUUAAUCAAUAAUGCCAUCGUGGAGAGCUUCUAACAUGAAAAUGGAUUCUCGCUCGAAAAUUUUAGGUCAACGACAUGUAACCAAGUCAUCUUUUUCCUACAAGUUACUUUCUAGUUCGACUGAUCAAAAAACUAAAAUACCGCAAAUUCAAAAGGGUUAUGUAGCAAUAUACGUGGGUGACGAGAGAAAGAGAUAUCAAGUUCUAAUAGAGAAUCUAGAGUUUUCGACAUUACAAGAACUUAUUAAACAGUCUCACGAUAGUGAUUUCGACUCCAAGAUUGAUGGACCAAUCGUGCUUACUUGCACUACUGAUAGGUUUGAUGAACUCCUGAAAUUUAUAAAUGGUUGACAUAUAAAACUUUAGAGAGUUUUAAAUAAUUAUUUUUUAUAUGUUUAAAUUACUAAUAAAUCCUUAUAUUUUAUCAAAAUUAGCUAUUUAAUCCCUAUUUUCAAAUCAUUAAAUUAAAACAUUUUGAAUUUUAUAAAGUCAAACUCUUUGAUAUUCUUAACGAAUAAAAUAUUAGUAAAUAUAUUUUUAAUUUUAAUUAGAAAAAUUAAAUUAUAUAUAUAAUUAAAAAAUAAAUAAAUAAUAUAAAAAUUUAUUUUAAUCGAAUAACAUAAAAAUAAAAAAUUAAAUAGUCAAUUUUGAUAAAAUAUAAUAACCAAAUAAUAAUUCAGACCCUUCAUGGCAAUUUCUCAGUAAUUUUAUCGAUUAUAUCUACCAUUUAUAUACCUCCUUUUUCAAGUUUUAUUUUUUCUAUCAUUGAUUUUUGUCAAUUUUUUAUUAUUUUAUCCGAUUUAAAUAAAUAACUUCUAUUUUAUUAUUUUAUUAAUUUUUUUAUUAUUAUUCUAAAGUUAUUGUUCACUUUCUUUCAUUAUAAUAAUAUAUAAUUGACUAUUAUAAUCUUAUUUAAUUUUAUAUUAUUUUCAAAUUAAUCUAUCAUUGAUUAUUAUUUUUUCAAAUAAGUAUUCAAAAUAUUUCUUAAUAUUUAAUAAAAUUUAAUAUUUUUAAAAUAGUAUAAUUGAAAAUUUUAUAAAAUAAAUUAUUUUUUAAUAUGUGUGAAAAAUUUAUAUUCAGAAAAUAAAUUUUUAUUAAAAAAUAAAUAAACUAUUAUAAUUAAAUCAUCAUUAUUUUCAUCUAUUUUUCACUCAUUAAAAUAUAUUUUUAAUGAUAUCAUUAUUAAUAUUUGUAAAUAUAUUUUUUAAUAUAAGUUAUCCAUCAAUUAUUUAUGAUUUAUUAUUGUAGAGUUGAUUUUUAAUUAUAUUUACUGUAAAAAAAAAAUCUUUUCACUAUUGUUAAAACAUGUAAAUUUAUAAAAAAAUUAUAAAAAUAAUAUAAUAUUUUAAUACAGGAUUUACUAUUAAAAUUUAUUUUUUUAAAAAAAAAAUUUAACUCAUUAAAAUUUAUUUUUGUAUAAUUUUAAUUUUAUAAAUAGAUUAAUAACAAAGUAAGAUAAAUAAAAAAAAUUAUAAUUUAAUAAUAAAAAUAGUAUUAUAAAAAUAAAUUAAAUAAUGAGUGAAUAACUUAAAAAAAAAAUUAAGUGGAGAUUUGAAUUUGAAAUCUUAAAAAUGAAAAGUAAAUUUUUUGAAUUGAAAAAUAAUAUAGAAGAUGAGAGAUUAAAUAAUAAAAAUUUCUUUGAUAAAUAUAUUAAAUAAUUUAAAAUUAUAAAAUAUAAUUAUAAUUUAAUUAAAUAAUUUUGAAAUAAGGUCGAAUUGGUAAAUUUUUAAAAUAUAUAAAAAUUUAAUAAUAAUUUUUCAUAUUUUAAGAAAAAUUAUCUAUACACCUUAAAAAAAUUUCAAAAAUUUCAAAAGGCUUAGGAGUCUGUCAAUGUGCACUAUCUUGCUAUUCGUUUGACACCAAACCCUUAGAUAAAGGUAAUAUAGAAAUUAAAACUUUAUUUAUUUCAUAAAAAAUAUUUUAUAAAAAAUAUUACACGUAUAGUUUUAAUAAUAAUAAAAAAAACAGCUAAUUUAGGGGUUAAGUGUCACUUUAUAAUUUUUGUGUUUUUAUUUUUCUAAAAACUAAUUAUAUAAAAAUAAAUAUAAAUUUUUUAUAUAAUAAUAAGAAAUAAUAUAAAUUUUUAAAAUAUGAUAUUUAAUAGCAAAAUAAUAAUUUUUAAAAUAAUAAAAUUUUAAAUUUUAUAAAAAAAUUCACUGAUUGCCCACAUAUAUAUAUAUAUAUAUAUAAAUUGAAUUCCAAUUACUCUUCUCUACUAUACAAUUUUUUUUCGAGUUUCUCACUCUUAAAUCUUUUAUUAAUUUAAAAAAAUUUUACCAAUAAUAUCAAGGCGGGAGCUUUUUAGCAGGAAAAUGAAAUCUCUUUUUAAGAUUUUAGACACCGUUAUACAAUUAAGUCAUAUUUUUCUUAUAAAUUACUCUCAAGUUUGACUAAUUAGAAAGCUAAAAUUCCACAAAUUUAAAUAGGCUAUGUAGCCAUAUACAUAAAUUUUGAAGGUAAGAGAUAUCAAAUUUCAGUAGUGAAUCUGAAGUUUCCAGUAUUACAAGAACUGAUUAAACAGUCUUAAAACAGUAAUCUCGACUCCAAGAUUGAUAACCAAUCGUACUUGCUUGCACUACUGACAAAUUUAAUGAACUACUGAAAUUUAUAGAGGUUAUCAUAUGAAACUUUAGAGAGUUUUAAAUAAUUCUUUUUUAUAUGUUUAAAUUACUAAUAAGUCCUUCCAUUUUAUUAAAAUUAAUCAUUCAAUCUCUAUUUCUAAAUUAUUCAUUUAAAAUAUUUUAAAUUUUAUAAACUCAAAUUCUUUAAUAUUUUUAUCUAAUAAAAUAUUAGUAAAUAUAUUUUUAGCUUUAAUUAGAAAAAAUUAAAUUAUAUAUAAUAUAAAAUUUUAUUUUAACCAAAUGACAAAAUUAAAAAAUUAAACGGUCAAUUUUGACAAAAUAUAAAAGUCAAAUAAUAAUCCACUCUUUUCUAUCUUAAAUUAAUUUUUUGGGUACUUCAUGGAAAAUUCUCAAUAAUAAUCUACUCUUUUAUAUAAAAAUAUUAAUAAAUUAUGUUUACACAACAUAUCAUAGAAAUUAGAUAAUAAAUUUUACUUAUAAAAAAAUUUAAAAUAUUUUUAAUACGGAUAAACUAAUUAAUAAAUAUUUUUAUAAAACUAAAAAAUUAAUUAAUAAAUUUUUAAUAUCAUAAAAACUAAAUAAUAAAAUGUUUAAUAAUUAAAACUAAUAAAAUGACUAAUUAAUAUAUUUUUUAAAAUUUAAAGGAUUUUUUAUUUUAUUUUUCAAAAUUAAUUAAUAAAUUUUUUUAUAUUAAAUAAUAAUUUUUUAUAAUAAUAAAAUAAAGAUAUAUUUUAUAAAUUAAUUAAAUAAAUAUUUAUUUAAUAAUAUGAAUUUGACUGAUGAAAUAAAAUUUUAAAAUUUUUAACGAUAAUUUAAUAAAAGUUAUAUAUAUAUAAAAAAAAAAAUCGCAAUGACAAUAAACAUAUUCUUAACUUUUCUCGUUAAUGGCACGUAUAUAACUAUUAAUAAUAUAAGGUUUUAAAGUGAAAAUACAUAUUUUCUCCAAAUGUCAUAUAGGAAAAAGAAGAAAUGAAAUAUCACUUAAAAUUAUUAUAAAUUAAUAAAUAAUAUAACUUAUAAAUUAUAUAAAUUUACUGUGAGUAGAAAUUGAACUUGUUAUGUAUUUAAUUAUUAUCAUAUUUUAAAUUUAUUAUACAAGAAAAUAAUAAUUUUUUAUUUAAUAAUAACUUUUAUUGUUAUUAAAUUUUUUUUAUCACUAUAUUAAUUAUUAUUAUAUAAAUUUAAUUUGUUAUUAAAUAAUAUUUUUAUAUGAAAAAUUAAUAAAAAAAAUACAAAAUGUGGUGCAUAUAAACAACUAGUAACGCAUUUCCUUUUGUUAUCCUUACCACUUUACCAGCUGGCAGAGAGCCUUCCUUUUCCGAUUCUCUAUUUCCUUUCCUCAUUCCCAAUCUCCGAUCCAUCCCUAAAAACAACUGAGGAGAGAUCGAUGAUGAUGAAGAUGCCUUGGAGGAGGAAGAGCAGGAGCUUCCAUCUUCAGCUACAAGGGGCAAUUGGUACCAUUCAAUCUCCAUUCCUUUUCUUAUUUACCAAUUAUUGCCAUUCUUCUACUUCCACACUUGAAGAUGCACGCUUCUUGACAAAUAACUUCAAAUCUGCUUCUUUUACCCACCUUGAUGAUGCCAUUGCUUCCUUCAAUCAUGUAAUUCAUAAGCAUCCUCUGCCUUCUAGGGUUCCAUUUAAUAGAUUCUUAUCUGCCCUUGUGAAAAUGAAACAAUAUCACACUGUCCUUUCCAUGUCCAAAACAAUUGAAUUGCUAGGAAUCUCACACGAUGUUUAUUCUCUUAGCAUCUUAAUUAAUUGCUUCUGCCAUUUACACCUUGUGGAUUUUGGCUUCUCUGUUUUUGGUAAGAUGCUCAAAUUGGGAUUGGAGCCUAACAUUGUGACAUUUACGACCUUAAUUAAUGGGCUUUGUAUAGAGAGUAAAAUCGACAAAGCAGUGGAAUUUUUCGAUGAUAUGGUUGCACGUGGUUAUCAACCUGAUGUUCGUACUUUCAAUGUGAUAGUAAACGGAAUGUGUAAAUUUGGGAAAACAAAUGUGGCUAUUGGGCUACUGAAGGGAAUGGCUGAUAGAGGUUGUGAGCCAGAUGUUGUGACAUACGGAGCAAUCAUUGACGCCCUUCGCAAGGAUGAGCUAGUUGGUGAGGCUUUAGAGCUCUUCUCUCAAAUGAGGAAUAAGGGCAUUUCACCUGAUGUCAUCACUUACACUGGUUUAAUUCACGGUGUUUGCAAAUUAGGCCAAAAGAACCAAGCUUUGGCCUUGAUGAAUGAAAUGGUGGAGCAAAACAUAUUACCAGAUGUUUAUACCUUCAAUGUAUUGAUUGACGCACUUUGUAAGGAUGGAAUGGUUGCAGAGGCUCAAAAUACAUUCAAUGUAAUGAUUCAAAGAGGUGUAGAGCCUGAUGUGGUCACCUACAAUUCCUUAAUUGAUGGUCUUUGCAUUUCAGACCAAUUCAAGGAAGCUUUGGCCUUGUUGAAAGAAAUGGUCGGGAGGAACAUAUCCCCUAGUGUUUUUACCUUCAAUAUAUUGAUCGACACUCUUUGUAAGAAAGGACUGGUUUCAAAUGCACAGAAAAUAAUCAAGAUAAUGAUUCAAAGAGGUGUGGAACCUGAUGUUGUCACUUAUAAUUCAUUGAUGGAUGGAUAUUGUCUGUACAGGGAAAUUGAUAAGGCUAGAAAGGUAUUUGAUCUGAUGGUGACCAAUGAAAUAGCUAACAUUUUUAGCUACAGCAUUUUGAUCAAUGGAUAUUGUAAGUGCAAAAUGAUAGAUGAUGCAAAGGAACUUUUUGAUGAAAUGUCUCUUAAAGGUUUAGUUCCUAAUGUUGUUACUUAUUCUACUCUUAUAGAGGGUAUGUUUCGAGCAGGGAGGCCCCAAAAUGCAAAAGAGCUUUUUAAGGAUAUGUGCUCUCAUGGUCAACAGCCAGAUAUAGUAACCUUCUCAAUUAUGAUUGAUUGCUUGUGUAGACAGGGGAAUCUCGAUGAGGCACUCACACUAUUGAAAGCAAUGGAGAAAUGUCAGUUGAAGCCUAAUGUUGUGAUCUAUAGCAGUCUGAUCAAUGGUAUGUGCAAAGUUGGGAAGAUUAAUGAUGCCAAGGAACUUUUUUCUAGUCUUUUUGAAAUUGGUUUACAACCUGAUGUUUAUGUAUAUAAUGCAAUUAUGAAAGGACUCUGUCAACAAGGAUUAAUGGAUGAAGCGUAUAAGGUAUUUAAAGACAUGGAAAAGGUAGGAUGUUUACCAGAUAAUUGUUGUUAUAAUAUCAUCAUUCAAGGGUUUCUCAAGCAUGAGGAUUUACCAAAAGCAUCAGAACUAAUCAACGAAAUGGUUGAUAAGGGGUUCUCUGCUGAUGAUGCUACCACAGAAUUGGUCGUACAUUUAUCACAGAAUAAUAAUCUCAUUCUGAGGCUUUUAAAGGUGCGCAAUGAGGGAUCAGCAAACUAAAGUUGUUAUAUCUUGACCAUUCAAGUGUAUCUUGGACCGCAACUUGGUAAUUACCUUUUUCAAAUAUAAUAGAUAUUUUAUUUAACUAACUUCUUCAAAUAUCAUUUUUAAUUUCAAUCAGCUGUGAUUCUCUUCCACAAAAUGAAAAUUUCUAACACCGCAAAUGACCUGUGGUGGAAACCGUGAUAUGUGUGUGCCUUUCGCUUAAAUUCAGAUAUAGACUUGAUCUCUUUGAUAUAAGAUUGUUGAAGAAUGGAGGUCUUGGAUUACAAUUUUAUUUUUGGUUGCUACUACAGCCUUAACUCCAGAGCUCAAUCCUAAAAUUAAGUUGAGAACUAAAACUAAUUGGUUUCAUACUACAAUGCUUAAGAAUCUUUAUCUAUUAUUAUUUUUGUGCUCAAUGACCUUUUAAAAUGCUAUCAUUUCUCUUGUAGGUACUUGCAAGGAUAUGAUUAGAACUUUACUUUUCUAACAAUAAAGGUAUAAGCAAUUCUUUUUGCUUAAUUAUUAUAUUUUUAAUAAUAAUGAAAAUAAUGAUUAUAAACCAGUGUGCUUUAAUUGAGAAUUGAUUUAACAAUUAGACUACCCUAUAAAUGCAGGGUGCAGGAUGUACAAUCCCAGAGUACAUGGUAAGAGAAUCACUAGACUUCUACGGCUGUUGGUUGGAUGAAAUGUCACUAAAAGUAUAGACAACAGAAAAUGUUAUGGGAAUUGAGGGAAAAGCAAAAGAAGACGAUGAAAAUCAGACGUAUGCAGCCACUGAAUGUGUUGAUGGACAAGCAACUGCAAUUGGUCCUACUAGCGAUUGGAAUGCUAGUUUAGCUUCAGCUAUUUAACAGGACUUUUUGUCCAAAUUUAUUUAUGAACAAGUUCAUAAAAGGCAGGAUAGCUCUAUAUAUAACACAGGUAUAAUCAAAGAAGGUGGCAGGAAAAAUGUCAAUACAAAGAAACUUCAUCUGAUUAAAUGGAAUACUCUUUUGUUGCCUAAAAAGAAUGGAGGCUUAGGCAUGAAAGAGAUCUCUCUUCAAAUUCAAGCUCUUUUGUUCAAAUGGCUUUGGAGAUUUGAAAAUCAUAGGGAUUCACUCUGAGUUCAACUUCUUCUAUCCAAAUAUUCUUUCAAUGUGGAGAAGGGUAUCUCUCUUGCUCCAGGAAAUUGCAUUUUUUCCCGUCAGAAAGACAUUCGAGGCUAUGCUACUUUCGAUGAACUCUUCCUUCUCUCCUUGAAUUAAUAUCAGAUUUGCUGUGGGGAAUGAGAUGACAAUGAAAUUUUGGAAUGAGAGACGAUCGGUUGGUAAUAUUGCUCUCAAAUUCUCCUUUAGCAGACUAUUAAAUUUAGCAGCUAACCUAGUUGUGUUGAUGUUAAACAUUAGCUGUUGGGUGAAGAACAAAUGGGAAUGGGAAAUAAUUGAAUUGUCUAAAAUAUACUUAAUCUUUUAUAUUAUUUCUAAUAAUAUAUUUUAUUAUUUAAAUAAUUUUUAUGAAUUUAAAAUUCUAAUUUCCAUAAAUAAAUGUGGUAAUAUUUAUGUGAGAUUGUAAAUUCAAUAUUUUUUAAAAAGGUAGUUUUAGAAAAAAUAAAAUCGAUUUUGUAAACAAAUUUUGAAAAAUGGAAAACCCAAUUACUUUAAAAAUAUCCAUUUCCAUAUAAAUUUAAUUAAAAAAUAAAUAUUUGCUUCUUUUUUUUUUUAACUUUCGUUCCCCAUUAUUAUUUAUAAAUACUAAUAGUUACAUUGGAAAAUUUAUAAUUUAUUUUUAUUAAUAUAAUUUAUUUAAUUAAUUUAUAAUAUAAUAUUUUAAUUUGCAUAUAAAUUCCACAUGUUCACUCCUAUUUUAAUGGAUUAAAAAAUUAUAUAAAUAUACAUUAUUUAAAAUAUUUUAAUUUGAUUUGUUCAAUUAAUUUACUAUUUUAAUUUAAUUUAUGUUCUAUUAACAAAUAUAAUAUUAAAAUUUUUCAUAGAUUGAGUAUUUUACAUAGAAUAAAAAUAUAAAAUUAUUUAGAAUUUUGUCAUAUCUUUCAAAUUAUAAAUCACUAAGUACAAUUUAUUAUUGAAAAUUAAUAAUUUUAAAUAAAAUAAAAAUAUAUUAUUAUUGUUAUUAAUUUUGAAAUUUAUAUUGUAUUAGGAUAAAGUUUUUUAGUUAUAAUUUAUAUAUAAUUUGACUAUAAUAAUUUUUUUAAAAAAAUGUAUAUUAACGGUAAUUUUAUUAAAUAACAGAUAUUAGCAAAUAAAAUUAAAAUUUGAAUAUUUCAAUUAUAGUAAAAAAAUCAACUAAAAUUAUUUAUUUUCUUAAUGUUAUUUUAUUUUAAUUCUUUUAGAUACUUUGAUUAAAUAUAUUCAUAUAAAAUGUGAUAUUAAGAUAAUAGGAGCCCAAAUUUAAUUGCCUAUUUGCAAUAAUAAUAAUAAUAAUAAUAAUAAUAAUAAUAAUAAUAAUAAUAAUAAUAAUAAUAAUAAUAAUAAUAUUUAAUAAUAAUAAUAAUAAUAAUAUUUAAUAAUAAUAAUAAUAAUAAUAUUAUCAUUAUUAUUAUUAUUAUUAUUAUUAUUAUUAUAUAAAAAAUUAGAUAAUUAAUAAAAAUUCCUCUUCACUAGGGUGAGCAGUAUUCAGUUCAAACCGAAAAAAUCGACCGAAUCGAAUUAAUUUGAAAAUUCAGUUCGGUUUUUUAUUUAUUUCGAUUCAGUUCGGUUUUAAAUUUCAGAAAUUUUGGUCAAAUCGAUUCGGUUCGAUUUUAAUCAGAAAAAAAUCGAAAAAACCGAACCGAACCGAUUAGUAAUAAUAAUAUAGUUUUUUAAUAAUAUAGAGAAAUUAAAUCAUAUUAAAAUUAAAAUAUUUUAAUUAAAUUUUAAAAUAUUAAAAAUAAAUUGUAAAAAAUAAAAAAAUUAUUAAAAAUUGAAACCGAUUAAACCGAAUCGAAUCGAACCGAAUCAGACCGGUUCGGUUCGAUUCGGUUUCUGACCAAAAUCGAUUCGGUUCGGUUUUCAUAAAUACUAAAAUUUCAAUUUUCGGUUUAUUCAGUUCGAUUCGGUUUUGAACAGAACCGACCGAAUGCUCACCCCUAUUCUUCACUGCUUUAAUUUGCAACUUUUUUAAAAUCAAUUAAUAAACUAAUCCAGCUAAAAUAUUUUAUUUAAUGCUAAAAUUCUAAAUUUUAUCUCACUUGUUAUCCAUAUAUAUAAAUUGAAUUUCAAUUACUCUUCUGAAUUUCCUUUCGAGUUUUUUCACUCUCAAAUCUUUUUUUAAUUUAGAAAAGUUUGAUCAAUAAUGUCAUUGUGGAGAGUUUUUAACAGGAAAAUGGAUUCUCUCCCUAGGAUUUUAGGUCAAUGAUAUGCAAUCAAGUCAUUUUUUUCUUAUAAAUUACUCUCCAGUUCAACUGAUCUGAAAACUAAAACACCGCAAAUUAAAAAGGGCUAUGCAACCAUAUACGUGGAUGACGAGGGCAAGAGAUAUCAAAUUCCAAUAGAGAAUCUAAAGUUUUCGACAUUAUAAGAACCGAUUAAACAGUUUCAUGAUAGUGAUCUCGACUCCAAGAUUGAUGGGCCAAUCGUGUUGCUUACACUACUGAUAAGUUUGAUAAACUGCUAAAACUUACAAGAGAUUGUCAUAUGAAACUUUAAAAAAAUUUGAAUAAUUCUUUUCUAUAUGAUUGAAUUACUAAUAAAUUUUUAUGUUUUAUUAAAAUUACAUAUUCGAUUUCUAUUUCGAAAUCACUCAAUUAAAAUAUUUUGAGUUUUAUAAAAUCAAAAACUUUAAUAUUCUUAUCGAAUAAAAUAUUAGUAAAUAUAACAAAUAAAAUUGAAAAUGCCAAAUAUAUGAAAUGAGUUUGAGCAUUUUAAAAUUUUAUUAUAUUGAAAUCAUUUUGUAUAUUAAUUUUUUAUUAUAUUAAUUAAAAUUGUAAUAUUAUUCAAAUAAAAAAUGCUUUAAAUAACUUUUGUAAAAGUAAAGCUUGGUAAAAAAAUUAAUUUAAAAUAAAAUAAUUAAUAAUAAAAAAUUAUAUAAAAUAAAAAUCAAUUAGAUUUUUCAUGAAAUUUUAUUCAAUAUUAAAAAUAAAAUUAACUAUUUAUAUAACCGCCUUUAAUUAGGUACCCAAUAUUGUAUAAAAAAAAUAAUAUAGAAGUAAUAUAUAUGUAUAAUUAACAUACACAAUGUCUACAAAUAGGCAAUAGCCAAUAGCACUUUAGCAAUGAUAAAUUAUUAUUAUAUAAAUUUAAUUUGUUAUUAAAUAAUAUUUUUAUAUGAAAAUUUAAUAAAAAAUUACAAAAUGUGGUGCAUAUAAACAACAGAGUAAUGCAUUUCCUUUACCAGCAGGCAGAGAGCCUUCCUUUUCCAAUUCUCUAUUUCCUUUCCUCAUUCCCAAUCUCCGAUCCAUCCCUAAAAACAACUGAAGAGAGAUAUGAUGAUGAAGAUGCCUUGGAGGAGGAAGAGCAGGAGCUUCCAUCUUCAGCUACAAGGGGCAAUUGGUACCAUUCAAUCUCCAUUCCUAUUCUUAUUUACCAAUUAUUGCCAUUCUUCUACUUCCACACUUGAAGAUGCACGCUUCUUCACAAAUAACUUCAAAUCUGCUUCUUUUACCCGCCUUCAUGAUGCCAUUGCUUCCUUUAAUCAUGUAAUUCAUAUGAAUCCUCUGCCUUCUAGGGUUCAUUUUAAUAGAUUCUUAUCUGCCCUUGUGAAAAUGAAACAAUAUCACACUGUCCUUUCCAUGUCCAAAACAAUUGAAUUUCUAGGAAUCUCACACGAUGUUUAUUCUCUUAGCAUCUUAAUUAAUUGCUUCUGCCACUUACACCUCGGGGAUUUUGGCUUCUCUGUUUUUGGUAAGAUGCUCAAAUUCGGAUUGGAGCCUACCACUGUGACAUUUACUACCUUAAUUAAUGGGCUUUGUAUGGAGAGUAAAAUCGACAAAGCAGUAGAAUUUUUCGAUGAUAUGGUUGCACGUGGUUAUCAACCUAAUGUUUAUACUUAUAAUGUGAUAGUAAAUGGAAUGUGUAAAUUUGGGAAAACAAGUGUGGCUAUUGGGCUACUAAAGGGAAUGGCUGAUAGAGGUUGUGAGCCAAAUGUUGUGACAUACAGUGCAAUCAUUGACGCCCUUUGCAAGGAUGAGCUAGUUGGUGAGGCUUUAGAGCUCCUCUCUCAAAUGAGGAAUAAGGGCAUUUCACCUGAUGUCAUCACUUACACUGGUUUAAUUCACGGUGUUUGCAAAUUAGGCCAAAAGAACCAAGCUUUGGCCUUGAUGAAUGAAAUGGUGGAGCAAAACAUAUUACCAGAUGUUUAUACCUUCAAUGUAUUGAUUGACGCUCUUUGUAAGGAUGGAAUGGUUGCAGAGGCUCAAAAUACAUUCAAUGUAAUGAUUCAAAGAGGUGUAGAGCCUAAUGUGGUCACCUACAGUUCCUUAAUCGAUGGUCUUUGCAUUUCAGACCAAUUCAAGGAAGCUUUGGCCUUGUUGAAAGAAAUGGUGGGGAGGAACAUAUCCCCUGAUGUUUUUACCUUCAAUAUAUUGAUCGACACUCUUUGUAAGAAAGGACUGGUUUCAAGUGCUGAGAAUAUAAUCAAAAUAAUGAUUCAAAGAGGUGUGGAACCUAGUGUUGUCACCUAUAGUUCAUUGAUGGAUGGAUAUUGUCUGUGCAGGGAAAUUGAUAAGGCUAGAAAGGUAUUUGAUCUGACCAAUGAAAUAGCUGACAUUUUUAGCUACAGCAUUUUGAUCAAUGGAUAUUGUAAGUGCAAAAUGAUAGAUGAUGCAAAGGAACUUUUUGAUGAAAUGUCUGAUAAAGGUUUAGUUCCUGAUGUUGUUACUUAUUCUACUCUUAUAGAGGGUAUGUUUCAAGCAAGGAGGCCCCAAACUGCACAGGAGCUCUUUAAGAAUAUGUGCUCUCAUGGUCAACAGCCAAAUAUAGUAACCUUCUCAAUUAUGAUUAAUGGCUUGUGUAGACAGGGGAAUCUCGAUGAAGCACUCACCCUAUUGAAAGAAAUGGAGGAAAGUCAGUUGAAGCCUGAUCUUGUGACCUAUUGCAUUCUGAUCAAUGGUAUGUGCAAAGCUGGCAAGAUUAAUGAUGCCAAGGAACUGUUUUCUAGUCUUUUUGAAAAUGGUUUACAACCUAAUGUUCAUAUAUAUAGUGCAAUUAUGAAAGGACUCUGCCGAGAAGGAUUAAUGGACAAAGCAUAUCAGAUUUUUAGAGACAUGGAAAAGGGAGGAUGUUUACCGAAUAAUUGUUGUUAUAAUAUCAUCAUUCAAGGGUUUCUCAAGCAUGAGGAUUUACCAAAAGCAUCAGAACUAAUCAACGAAAUGGUUGAUAAGGGGUUCUCUGCUGAUGCUACUACCACAGAAUUGGUAGUACAUUUAUCGCAGAAUAAUGAUCUCAUUCUAAGCAAACUACGAAAUCGUUCUGAGGCUUCUAAAGGGGUGCAAUGAGGGAUCAGCAAACUAAAAUUGUUAUAUCUUGACCGUUCAAUGGUGUCUUGGAGAGAAACUUGGUAAUUACCUUCUUCAAAUGUAGUAGAUAUGUAAUUUAACUAACUUCAAAUUUCAUGUUUAAUUUCAAUCAGCUGUGAUUCUCUUCCACAAAACAAAAAUUUCUAACACUGUAAAUUACCUGCAGUGGAAACCAUGAUAUGUUUGUGCCUUUCUCUUGAACUCAGACAUGGACUAGACCUCUUUGGAUAUAAGAUUGUUGAUGAAUGGAGGUCAUAGAUUUCUAAUGAUCAAGUUGCUGGUAAACCCACCAUCUUCCUUACAAUUUUUUUUUGGGCUGCUACUACAGCCUUAACUCGAGAGCUUAGUCCUAAAAAUGAGUUGAGAACUAAAACUACUUGAUUCCAUGCUAUAAUGCUUAAGAAUCUUUAUCUAUUUUACUUUUGUGCUCAAUGACCUUUUAAGAUGCUAUCAUUUUUCAGUAAACAUGCUGCAUUAGGACAAUAACUUGGAGAUUGGAUCAUAUAUUUUGAUUUUUACUAGUAAGAAUGCAGGUGUUAAAUCAGUGAACUAGCAGGUGUUAACACCUGCUUUCUGUAUCAUUUUACCAAAGCUACUCAUGCCUGUUUCCGUCCAUUAGAAUUUAACACCUACUAGUUUAUCAUAUACUUGCAUUACUUGUAAUAAGUUUAUGCUCCCAAAAUGAUUUCUAUUUAUUGCUAGUUUAUUACUUGUAGUAAGUUUAUGCUCAAAAUAAUUUAUAUCUAUUGCUCCUUGAGUUAAUACUUAUAACUUGAACUAGAGUUAAUACUUACUCCUUGAGUGCAAGUUUUAACACCUACUUGUUGAGUUUAAGUAUUAAUUUGAGCUUUUGCAACAGGUACAUCUGAGCUUUAGCAUGGUGCAGUAUGUCUUCCACCAGUCCAUCGGGUCUUUUCCCACAUGCCUGAGAUGAAGAUGGAUUAGAUGAGCAAAUCCAGGAUUUUUGUUGAUUACUUGUUGUACACAUUUUGGGGUACUAUUUGUUUUGGCAUUUACUACAAAAAUAUACUUUUAAUUAUACAUUUUUUUGUGGUUGUACUAGAUUAUUUAUGUGCAAAUUUAAGUUCAAAAGACUUUUCUUUUUAUUAUAAUUGAAUACAUCAGAUUUGUGGUUGAUUUGUGUUAUAUUAUGCAUUUAAUAGGUUGGUUUUGUGAUAUUUGUAAUUAUUUUGGAUCGGUUAAAUAAAAAUUGCAAACGAAAAUGCAAUUGAAAAUCUGGUUCAAAUUUCGUAAAGGGUGUAAGGAAGCAACAUUGAGUCACUUUGCUCUGUAGAUGAUUUGUUUUUGUCUUGUCAUGGGGCUAGGAAUUUGGUCUGUGGGCUUGGAGAGGCCUUGAAGUUGAGGAGGUUUUAGGAUUGCAAGUAAAUGAGUCUAAGAGCUGUGUUUAUCUUGCAAGAGUGCUAGAGGAGAUUAAGCAGCAAAUUCUACAAUUCCUCAAUUUCAGGGAGGCAUUUCUUCCUGUUAUCUAUUUGGGAUUACCUCUGGUAUCUACUAGUAUUAAAAAAGAGCAUUUUCAGAAGCUUAUUAGUAUAAUAACUAGUAGAAUUGACUCAUGGUCUGCUAAAUAAUUAUCCUAUGCUGGUAGGGUACAUGGUGAGGAAUAAGUUGAAAAGCCUCAGUUUUUGGGGAUCUCUAAACCUUGUAAUGCUAGUUGAUCUUGAAAGAAUUGGUGAAAAUUAGAGAUUGUUUUAGAAAGCAUUGUGCAUAUAAGUUGGGAAGAGGGGUUUUUCAUUUUGGUAUGACCCUUGCAUGGGUGGGAAAAGUCUUGUUGAGAGGUCUCUGAGUUGAAUAUGGGAUAUUCUGACAUCAUAGACAUACUAAGGUGAGGGAGGUUUGGAGGGAUGGUAUGUGGAGGCUUCCUAAUCCAUUGGGUUCCACUAUGGAAGGAGCCUGGGAAGAGGUUCAGAAAUAUUACGUAAGCAAUGAAUGGGCAGAUUGUAUUAAAUGGAAACUCAUAGACUUACACUGUUAAUAGUACUUGGAAAGUCCUAAGAAGGAAGGGUGGAGUGGUUAAUUGGUGGAAGGUGGUGUGGGGUGAGCGUAUUCCCAGGCACAGUUUUAUAACCUGGUUAGCUAUCUAUAGUAGACUUGUUGUCAAAAAGAGGCUACUUAGAUGGGGAAUGGUAAAUAAUGCGUGGUUUUGCUUAUGAUUACUUAAUAUUAAUUAGAUUAAUGAUCACUAAUAGAUAAAAGUGUCUGAAGGAAAGAGACACUUAUAAAGAUUAGUGUGUAAAAUCUAUAUGAUUAUUUAAUAUUAAUUAGAUUAAUGCUCACCUAUCGAAAAAGGUGAAAUUAAGUAAAAAGGUCAUGUUUUUUUAGUAAAUUGUAUCGCUCACGAUUAAGUAGAAAUGUUCUUGUGACAAUACUUUACAGUUUUGGCAUGGUGCAGUAGUUAGGAGUAUAAAUGAAUUAAAUUAUUUGUUUGUGAGUUAUUUGAGAUUCGACUCGAUAAAAAUUUAAUCGGGCUCGAUCUAAUUUAUAUACAAGCCAAGUUCGAGCUUAAUUUUUAGACUUGUUUAGUAAACGAGUCAAGUUUGAACUCCAUAGUAUUCGGCUCGUUAAAACUUGUGUGCUCGACUCUUUUCCGAGUUUAUGAACAGAUUCACAAAUAGGCUCGUAAAUUAUCUCGUUAAGUAGGCUGAGAUUAACAUCAUAAGAUAAAUAAAUUCAAAUCAUGCAUAUAUUUUCAUAAGCCAACCUAAAUUUUCUAAAGUUCAAGUCUACAUAGUUUAAUUACAUUUUUCAAACUUGCAGAUAUUUGGAUCGUUAAGAUUUAAGAGCUCAUUCUUUACAAGUUUGUGAGUUAAUUUUUAUAUAUAUUUAUUGAAUUAAAAUUAAGUAUUUGAUUGUCUAGUAUAACUUGGUUAAGUGACUAAAAGAAUAUGUAAUUCAUCUGAAAUUAUAAAUUCAGUUUUCACUCCUCUAUUUCCCAAAAAAUAAUUAUUAUAAUAAAAUAGAUAAUUGCUAAAAAAAUCUUACAUUUUUAAUUUUAUUACGGUUAUACCUUAAACUUUUAAAUUAUUAUCGAUUUAAUCGUGAAAUUUGUUGAUGUGUCAUACUGAUAUGAUAUUGAUAUGGCGAAUGACGUGGCAAUUCUGUUAGUUUUUAACGGCACAAGUAACAGUAGGGUAUAAUUAGAACAACUUUAAAAGAUAAGGGUUUAAUUGACACAAAAAAAAAAGUAUAGAGUGUAAUUACAAUAAAAUCAAAGUACAAAAUUUUUUUUUCCAUUAACGGUUGAACAUAUUAGUUUUAAACUAAAAAUCAUUAUAUAUGUACAUAAAUUGAACUGUUCAUGAAUUAUUCGAUAUUAAACUUGAUAAAAACUCAACUCGUUUAAGUCUGUCUGCUAAAUGAGGUUUAAGUUUCUUUACUAAAUGGGGCAAGUUUGAAUUUAUCGAUACUUGAUUGGAGUUCGAAAUAAGUAAAAAUUGAGUUUCACUCAACCUCAAAGAACUUUUAAGAAAUUAAGUUUAAGCUUUUCAAAGUUUGGAUCGUUUCACUCACACCCCUAACAGUAACUCCUCCAUUCAGUCCUUUCUUGUGAGUCUCAGAUGAAGAAGGAUUAGAUGAGGAGAUCAAAAAUCUUUAUCCGUUACUUGUGGAUUAUUUGUUAUUUACAUUUGUAGAUAUUAUUUAAUUUUAUGUUUACAAUAAAAAUAUACUUUUAAUUAUGAAUUUCAUUUUGGUGUUGUAUUGAAUUAUUUAUGUUCGAAAUAAUUUUUGAUUUAUUGUUUCAAUGCACUAUAUUUGUAGUUGAUUGUAUAAAUAUUGGGUUUUUGAUAUUUACAGGUGUUUUAGAUUAGUGGCAUAAAAAUUAUAAAGAGAAACGCAAAUUAAAAGUAUAUUUAUAAAAUUACAAAUAAAUUUAUAAAUAAAUAUUUUAUUACAUUUACAAACGGUGUCGUAUAUAAUUUAGCAAGCAAUGUCCAUAAAUAGAUAAGUUUAAAUUACAAAUGGACUUAAUUUUUUGUAUGAUUAAUGAAUUUAUAAAUAAAUAAAUUAUUUGAAUUUUAAAUGAAUUUUACAAAUAUAUAAACAGUUUGAAUUACAAAUAUAUUUCAUAUCAGACAUUUAUAUCAUAAAUAUUUUUAUAAAUAGAUUGUCCAUUUUAUAUCAUAAAUGAAUUUACAAAUAAAUUAUCUGUUUAUACAUAAAAUUUUAUUUAUAAAUGAGAGAAUAUAUAAUAAAAAAUUUUAUUUUUCAUUUCAAAAAUAUUACAUAUGAAAUUUACAUAAAGUUUGCGAUCGUAUAUUAAAUUACAAAUGAAAGUGCAUAAUUUUCAACUAGAUUUUUUCAUGUGUAAUUUUUUUUUUUUUUUUUAGUGGCAAGUCUAAUAAGAAUGUUGAACAAAUACUUGGUCUCUUUUUAUUCGCAGACGAGACAUUACAGUGGUAAAAGUUAGGAUCUUUUUAAUAGGAUUUGAACAAUAUAAAUAAAAACAAAGGCUGGGGGAGAAAUAAUAGGAUUGCAAAAAAUAUAUAAGAUAAUUUAUUAUUAUAAAAAUAAAUGAAUAAUCUUAUUUAACAUUUAUUCGCUAAUAAAAAUUAAAUAAUUCAAUAUAUUUUAAAAAUUUUAAGUUAUAAAAUUCUAAUAAUGUGAUAUGAAAAUAUAUACAAUAAUUUAAUAUUAUACUAAAAAGGAAUUAUUUUUAUUUAAAUUAAUUAAUAACAAAAUUAAAUUAAUCAAUACUUUGAAUAAAUUUCAACUUAUAAAAUUAUAGUAAAAAAAAUAAGAAUUCUAAUAUCAUCUCAAACUCAGUUUUAAAAUAAAACUCCUUCUACAUUAUUUACAUAGGAAUAAUAUUAAUAAAUUAAACUAAUAUUAUGUUUUUAAUGGAAUAAAAUAAAAUGAUAUAAAAUAUUAAUGUGGUUGAUUAAUUUUGAAAUUCUAAUACAUUUUUAAAGUUAGUGUACAGUAAAAUUAAUAUAAAAUACACUUAAUUUAAUUAAUUAAAUAAUAACUUUAAUUGAUUAAAAUAUAUACACAUAAAAACUCCAUGUGAUUAAUAAAAAAAUAAUAACUUUAAUUGAAUGAAAUAUAAAAGUUUAAUGUAAUCAAUUUUUAAUAAAGAGUGAACUAUAUUUAUUAUAAAUUUAUUAUAAUAAUGAAUAAUUAAAUUUAAUUAAUUUAAAAUUAAUAAUAAUAAUGAUCAUAAGAAUAAUUUAUAUAAAAAAAUAACGUUAUAAAAAUUUAAGAUGCUAUAAAAUUUUUUUAAUAAAGUUUAUUGGUGCAAAUAUAUAUCUAGUUUUUCUUAAUUCAAUUAUUAUCAAUUUAUUUUACUCUUUUAAUAAUUACUCUCUUAAAAUAUGUUAGAGAAACACUUUUUUUGUAAGUUUUAUACCAAACGUACUUUAUAUUCAUUUGAUAAAUCUGCUAAAAUUUAAUUUAUUGUACAGAAUUUAAAAUUAUUUAUUUUUCUUUUUAAAAAAUAAAAAAAAUCUUUGUUUUACCAUGUUUCAGCUUUUAUGUAAUUAAUAUGAAUAAAGAUUGGUUUUAUACUUAGUAAAAUAUAAAUUCAAGUAAAUUCAUGUAUAGAUUUGUCCUAAAAUAUAUGUAAAAUGUAAUGUAAUUAAUAUCAAUAAUAGUAUUUAGUGAUGGUAUCCUCAGCAUAUAUAAUGUCGGGUAUAAAUUUGUAAAAUAAAUAAAUACGGAAUGGUUGGUUGUGGAUAAUUUUUGUGAUACUUAGGUCAGUAAGUGAUUUAUCAGAAAUUUUAAAAUAAAAGGUAUAGAGAAUAGUUUGAUUAAAAGAGUAUAUACAUGAGGUGUCUUUUUAUAGGUCUAAAGUUGGUUGAUUUUUGGUAGAAGUAGGAUUCUUUUUUGAAAUCUAUUUUUGUAACGACCCGGAAACCGGACCGCUACCGGCGCUAGGAUCCAGAUCGACUUAAGGUCGCCGGGAUCCGUAGCAAACCUACUAUACAACCUGUGUACCUGAUAAAACCCAUACAUGAUCAUACAUUUUCAUAACAUUUUAAAUUUUUCAUAUGCAAGCUUGACCUGUGCAUGCACCAUAGCCAAAAACACAAAACCCCUAUACUAGAGCCCUCAUCAAAUGCUCUAGUAGGGUCAACAUUUCAUACGUCAAGCUUGGUUCAACAUACCUCAUCAUUAAAAUAUUUCAUAUAGAUCAUGUAUAAAAGGGUUUAACCAUACAUCACUAGGGCAAAGCACAAUUCUAUCCAUAAUACAUUACAUUACAUUAUAUUACAUUUCGUUCCAUAUCAUGUUCACUACUGUUCUAUUACAUAACAUAACUAUUACUCUUGCUGACUUCUUGAGCUACCUCUGACCUGCAAACUGGGGGUUAGGGGAAAUGGGUGAGCUACUAAGCCCAGUGAGCAGAACCAUAAAACAGUUAAAUAAUCAUAUGCUCAUAUGGAAUGCACCACAACACAAACAAUACACAUUAAGGAUGGACUGACCCAAAAAUCCCUCUACUCUGUGCCCGGCCCUCGGUGGAGCUCCUCAUGACUUCUUUACUUACAUAAAUUGCGUGCCAGGGGCGUAGAAUGGGCAAUUCUGGUCUUUCAUUACAUAACAUAAUAUGUAGAGGGCUAAUGGUCGUCCUGUUGUCCAUCCACAUCAACAACCAGUUAUGCAGUGCAGCAUAUUCGUGAAGUCUAAUGCAAACAACCUAUUACAUAUACAUGAUGCGUGAACAUGCUUAAAACAUUUGAUUUCUUGAGAUAAAAGAUUAGUUUAGUUCUACUCACCUCUGACUGACGCUUAACUAACUCUGAAGCAGCUAGCUCACUGCUGGUCUCUUCGGUCUCUCGGCUCCGAACCUACACAGGUGGACUCAAAUGAGGGACCAAACAUACUCUAUAAAGACUCUAAAUAUAGCCCCCAAAACCCCCCAAAGCAUCAUAAAACAUGCAUGCAAAACAGGCAAGGGAAGGCUGGACAGAGGACUUUCGGCGGCAGGUUCGGCGGCCGAAGGUCCCUACAGAUCCGAAAGUCAAGCACUUUCGGGGGCAGGUUCGACGGCCGAAACUUCACUCUAGAGACGAAAGUCACCAACCUUCGGCUGCUGAAACUCCUCUCCAGAGCCGAAAGUUCAACUUUCGGAGGCGAGCUUAGGCGGCCAAAACUGCCUCCACAGUCAGGUUCGACGGCCGAACAUGGCUUCGGCGGCCGAACCUGGAUCCUUCUGAGUGGCAGAACCCGAUUCUGCCAUUCCACAUCUAGCCUCCCAAAACCUUCCAAACUCAAACUCAACACACCAAAGCAUGCAUAAACACAUUCUUAAGCAUAUAGGGGCAUAAAACUAGCCUAAACCCCAACAUAACAUCACAUAAACAUACAUAGAGCAUACAUUCAAUAUAAACCCUAACAUUUUCACAACUAACCUAAACAUGCAUCAACAACCCAUAACCCCCUUAUAAAACAUACUUAAAACAUAAAAAAGGGUAUGGAUCUACACUUACCUCUUGAAGAUCGAGAGGAGAGGUGAUCCAAACUUGGAGAUUGGGAGAAAUCGAGCUCCGGGGUCUCCAAGCUUCAAAACUUUAAUCUUAGCUUAAAAACUUCAAAAUAAGGGUAAAAACUCAUCAAAAACAUAAUUGAUUUGUAGGAAAACAUAAAAUCAACCAAAGGAGGGCGAAAUCUCACCUAUGCUCAAAAAUAGAGAGAGAAAACUCGUCCGUUUUCGGAUAAGGGGCUUUUUAUAGGUGGCUGGCCAGACCACCUUCGGAGGCCAAAAGUGCCUCCGCAAGAGGCCAAUGUUCGGAGGCCGAACAUGAGGUUUGGCGGCCGAACCUGGCUUUUUUCCUCCUUGGUCUUUUCUUUCAAAACUCAAUUUCCUUCUUCAUUAAAACCAUAAGAACAUAUAAAAAUAUUUUAGAAAACCUUUAUUUUCACCAUUCUAAGGGAUUCCGGCCUUAAGAUUCCAGAUUUCAACGGAAAUUCCGCUGGAAAAUUGGAAUUCCGGUGCCGGAACUUAGCCAGGUGUUACAAUUUUGGUCCUAAAUUGUAGAAUUUUACUUUAAAGACUUUUUACUUAUAUGUGAUUUAGAAUCCUAAUUGUCAUACGACUUUUACGUGAUUUGAACAAUGUUGUCUAUUUGGAUUUCGGCCUAGUAGGCCGAAGCCUUCGGCUCCGUGAUCGUCACCUUUGGUUUCAAUCCUAAGGCUGAGACCUCGUGUUGAUAUUAGCCUUGAGGCUGAAAUCUUGAGGUCUCGACAUCCAUUUAGCAUUUUGGAUGCCGAGAUCUAAGAGUUUCGACCUUUCGGUCCUAAAGCCGAACACCUUUGAGUAUCAGAACCUUAUUUCUCACUAAAAUGCAUCGCUUAGAAUCAAGCAAAAUAUGACAUAUUUUUAAACUAAUAUAAAUGAUUAAUUAUAUAAUAUUAUGAUAUAGACACUAGAGAGCAUUUUAGUUUUCUUUUUUUUUUCUUUAUAUAUAUAUAUAUAGACACUUGAGUUUAUCUUAUAUAUGUCUAUAAAUGGUAGUUUUAGAAUUUAAGAUAUAAAUAUAAAUAAUAAGGUAUUAUUAUUUAAAUUGCCAAAACUACAUUUAAUAAUUGUAAGUUUGAUGAGUAGCAGAACUCACCACUUGUUUCUUAUUAAAUUUCAUAAUUUUAAUAUAAAUAAUUAAUUUUUACUUAAAAUUUAAUUUUGUUCAGGUUUUUAAGCGGAAGUUAAAGAAAAGGAACGCAAAUAGGCUUAAUUAAAAGAUUUUCAAAUUGAGAGUUACAGUAUUGGGUAAGCCUGUAGUCCAAGACAAUGGACAGCUUCCGAUUUCAAAAAAUGCAACUUCAGCCCAAUUUUUUCAGCUGUAUUAAUAUAAGAUCAACUUUAAAUUGGAGCAAAUACAAUCAUAUUAGAAUAGGGAUAAGAUAGAAGUAAUAAAAUUUAUUUUAAAUUGUAAAUAUUUAUAUUUUUGUUGGAAAAAAAUCCAUAUAAAGGCUACUCAAAAAUUAAUCUAGGUAUCAUAUUUUUCUCUUCUUCUUCUCCCCUCUCAAAUUUGGCCACCUCCUUGCUGUCCCCUUCUUCUUCUCUUUAGUUUUUGUAAUUUUAUCAUGACUCUUAGGGAUUGACCAAUUCUUUUCAAUUGAAAGUUAAUCUAAAUUGAGGUUUUAUUCAAGUUGUGAGAUUAUGUGCUUAAAUUCUCUUCCUAUUAUUUCUAUUUUCUAUUAAUUUCUAUUUUCAAAAAAUACGACCUCGAUUGUUGUCCUCUUAGAAAUUAAGGGGCCCAUUGAAUCUCUUGGAAAGACAACAUAUUACUCAUUAACUCAAUUAAAUUCGUAAUUGUUUAAUUGAGUUAAUAAUAAAUACUAAUUAUGUUAAGAAAUUAGUUUUGAUUUAAAUAAUUCGCGUGUUAUUAUUGAUCAAAUUUAGUGCAAACUUCUUUUCUUUUGUUGGAGUGGUUUGACGUCUUUGUCAACAGACAACUUAUGAGCAGUGAGAGCGAAAUUCACUCUUAUUACAUCUUUUGGAGACCAAGCGAAAAUGGUUACUUGGCAAUUUAGCAACUCUAUUAAAUAAGUCUUUGUUUCACUGGUUAACGCAAUACCGAACCGUACUUUUUGAUUCUUAUCUAAUUCAACCUUUUCUACUAGGUCUCUAGCUCUGUUUUUAUGUGAGAUUCUGGCUUCUUUAGCAAGUCAAUGGGUAUUGUGGCUUUCUCGAGACUUUUUGCGGGGUGUUCGUAAUAUUCUUUAGCCAAUCUCAGGCUACCUCAGACCACGGUUAUCCCCCUGGAGCUGUUAACUUAAGACACAUAGUAUCCGUGUUAAUAACAAUACUGUGACAGUUUAGAACUGGGCGACUGAGUAUCACAUGGUACACAAAUGAGAUAUCUACCAUCGCAAACUCUACAUACAACUCUCGCCUAUAUUUUUCGUCACCCAGGGAAGGUUGAUGGUAUCUACUACUGUCACGGACUUAUCUCCUAAGAUAGGAAACUUUGACAAGACUGUUUUUAUCUAAAUCUAACUUGUUAAAAAUAUUUUAUAUGAGAAGGUUAAUGGAACUAACUGUAUUCACCCAUACUCGCCUUACUUCGAAUCUAUUUUAGAAGGAUUUUAACAACCACUAGGUCAUUUUGAAAGAAUCCAAUCACUUUACCUACAGGACCAAACCUUUAUUUUUUCCUUUACCCUUGUCAUGUCCUCUAUAAUGAUAUGUAUGAUUCCGGCCAUUUAGCUAUUUCAAGAUAGAGAAGAGAUAUUUCUUUUUUAGAGAAUUAGAUAUAUUAUAUGACCCUAUUUACGCUGGACUGUAUCUGAUAACGGUUACUUUACAUUGAAAUCUUGAUAAUCAACCGCAUAUUUAAAGUGUCUGAAUUUUUCUUUUCUCAAAUGAAAAAGUAUUACUUAUUUAUAAGGUUCUUGUCAUAUCACCCUAUUUUAUGGCAAUAACUUAUAAAUUUAUUGUAUUUUAUUAUUAUUUAUAAAUAUUUAAUUUAAUUGAUUAAUUAUAUCAAUUUUCUAUUUAAAUUUAAAUAAAUUUUAUUAUAAGAACCCACUAAAAUUUAAAACUUCUUAUAAAAUAUUAAUUUUAUAAUAUCAAUACUUGAGUUGGCUAAAAAUUUCAGCAAUAAAUAAUUCAUGCUAAUAAUUUUUACUAAUUAAUAUUUCAUAAAAAUAAUAAAUCGGCAUAAAAUUUAUUUUUUUAAUAUUAUAAUAAAUAGAUAUAAAAAUAAAAGUAUUAGUAAUCAAUACUAUUUUAUAAAAAUAAUAUAAAAAAUGAAUUUUAAAGCCAUUUAAAUUUUUGAUAAUUUUAUAUUUUAAUGUUUAGGUUCACACAUUAAUUUAAUUUUUUUAAUUUAAAAUUUAUAUAACCGCCUUUAAUAUACACAAUGUCUACAAAUAGAAAGUAGGUUAAAAAAANNNNNNNNNNNNNNNNNNNNNNNNNNNNNNNNNNNNNNNNNNNNNNNNNNNNNNNNNNNNNNNNNNNNNNNNNNNNNNNNNNNNNNNNNNNNNNNNNNNNNNNNNNNNNNNNNNNNNNNNNNNNNNNNNNNNNNNNNNNNNNNNNNNNNNNNNNNNNNNNNNNNNNNNNNNNNNNNNNNNNNNNNNNNNNNNNNNNNNNNNNNNNNNNNNNNNNNNNNNNNNNNNNNNNNNNNNNNNNNNNNNNNNNNNNNNNNNNNNNNNNNNNNNNNNNNNNNNNNNNNNNNNNNNNNNNNNNNNNNNNNNNNNNNNNNNNNNNNNNNNNNNNNNNNNNNNNNNNNNNNNNNNNNNNNNNNNNNNNNNNNNNNNNNNNNNNNNNNNNNNNNNNNNNNNNNNNNNNNNNNNNNNNNNNNNNNNNNNNNNNNNNNNNNNNNNNNNNNNNNNNNNNNNNNNNNNNNNNNNNNNNNNNNNNNNNNNNNNNNNNNNNNNNNNNNNNNNNNNNNNNNNNNNNNNNNNNNNNNNNNNNNNNNNNNNNNNNNNNNNNNNNNNNNNNNNNNNNNNNNNNNNNNNNNNNNNNNNNNNNNNNNNNNNNNNNNNNNNNNNNNNNNNNNNNNNNNNNNNNNNNNNNNNNNNNNNNNNNNNNNNNNNNNNNNNNNNNNNNNNNNNNNNNNNNNNNNNNNNNNNNNNNNNNNNNNNNNNNNNNNNNNNNNNNNNNNNNNNNNNNNNNNNNNNNNNNNNNNNNNNNNNNNNNNNNNNNNNNNNNNNNNNNNNNNNNNNNNNNNNNNNNNNNNNNNNNNNNNNNNNNNNNNNNNNNNNNNNNNNNNNNNNNNNNNNNNNNNNNNNNNNNNNNNNNNNNNNNNNNNNNNNNNNNNNNNNNNNNNNNNNNNNNNNNNNNNNNNNNNNNNNNNNNNNNNNNNNNNNNNNNNNNNNNNNNNNNNNNNNNNNNNNNNNNNNNNNNNNNNNNNNNNNNNNNNNNNNNNNNNNNNNNNNNNNNNNNNNNNNNNNNNNNNNNNNNNNNNNNNNNNNNNNNNNNNNNNNNNNNNNNNNNNNNNNNNNNNNNNNNNNNNNNNNNNNNNNNNNNNNNNNNNNNNNNNNNNNNNNNNNNNNNNNNNNNNNNNNNNNNNNNNNNNNNNNNNNNNNNNNNNNNNNNNNNNNNNNNNNNNNNNNNNNNNNNNNNNNNNNNNNNNNNNNNNNNNNNNNNNNNNNNNNNNNNNNNNNAAUUCCUUAAUUGAUGGUCUUUGCAUUUCAGACCAAUUCAAGGAAGCUUUGGCCUUGUUGAAAGAAAUGGUGGGGAGGAACAUAUCCCCUGAUGUUUUUACCUUCAAUAUAUUGAUCGACACUCUUUGUAAGAAAGGACUGGUUUCAAAUGCAGAGAAUAUAAUCAAAAUAAUGAUUCAAAGAGGGAACCUACCGUUGUCACUUAUAGUUCAUUGAUGGAUGGAUAUUGUCUAGGCAGCCAAAUUGAUAAGGCUAGAAAGCUAUUUGAUCUGAUGGUGACCAAUGAAAUAGCUGACAUUUUUAGCUACAACAUUUUGAUCAAUGGAUAUUGUAAGUGCAAAAUGAUAGAUGAUGCAAGGCAGAUUUUUGAUGAAAUGUCUCAUAAAGGUUUAGUUCCUGAUGCUGUUACUUAUCAUACUCUUAUAAAGGCUAUGUUUCAAGCAGGGAGGCCCCAAACUGCAAAAGAGCUCUUUAAGGAUAUGUGCUCUCAUGGUCAACAGCCAAAUAUAGUAACCUUCUCAAUUAUGAUUGAUGGCUUGUGUAGACAGGGGAAUCUCGACGAGGCACUCACCCUAUUGAAAGCAAUGGAGAAAAGUCAGUUGAAGCCUAAUUUUGUAAUCUAUAGCAGUCUGAUCAAUGGUAUGUGCAAAGUUGGGAAGAUUAAUGAUGCCAGGGAACUUUUUUCUAGUCUUUUUGAAAUUGGUUUACAACCUGAUGUUUAUGUAUAUA